UUACGACCAUAUCAAUUUGAAAAACUGGUACCCGUAUGAUCACCAAAGUUAAGCAACAUUGAGCCUGAUUAGUACCUACAUGGGAGAACACAUGGGAAUACCAACUGCUGUAAG